GUGGGAUUAGCUGCCUCAGAGACUGCUAAUUGCCAGAUGGCCGCUGAUAGCCGACCAGGGAAACGUGUGUGUCAGAGCCUGCCAUGAAGCCCUAGGAAGUCAGAACUGGAAGGGAUCUUAGGGAGGCCGGCCAACCCUUCACUUCUUCACCAUUGCGAUGGGGACACAGGCAAAGUGGCUCGCUCCUGGAUGCACAGUGCUGGCCUGAGUUCCCCUGGAGUGGAAGUGUGUUCUCCUCUAAGUGUACAAGGAGCAGUAAGUGCUUCUAUCCAGAUGUGGAAAAGAUCCACAGAGCUUUGAGUGCUUGACAGACACAUCCAUGAGAAAGACAGAAGGAUCUGCAGUUGUGAGGAUCUAAAGCUCCAGGGAUAGUGCUCCUAAGCCCACAGCAUCCUCAGUAAGGAGGUGAAAGCAGGUACCAGACUCUACGAGGUUUCUCCCAGAAGAAGAUAGAAGCCUAAGGCAGGUCCUAGGAAAGUGAUGGGAGUGUCAAGCAUCAUUGCCCCCCGAGGUUCUUGGCAUCUCUCUCAGGCUCAUCUGGACUUCUCCCUGAAACUUGGGGUCUGAUGCAUGCAGGAAGCCUCAGAGCCAGUCUCAGACUCAGCUGGAUCUGGGGCAAGAAGCAGAGGGAUACAAAGAAAGCUUGUUGUCACUGUGAGGGUCAGGGCACCAACUAACACAGACAAGAAGCACAGGCGCAACCGUGCCAAGUGAUUCACCUGCUGUCACAGCACAAGCCUUAAGUGGGAUGUGCUGAAACAUCAUAGACCGAUCUGCCUGCGUAGGUGUGCUUCUCCCCCAAGAGCUCCUUCCUCCUGCCGCUACUCCCUUGUGGAAAAUUAAGAGAGGAGCUUGUCAUCACCAAAGGAAAGAAAAGUAGCCUGCUCGUUUCAUCACAAAACUCCUGCAAGCCUGUAGCAAAUGGCCUCUAUUCUUUCCUUCCACCUGAUUUAUACAGAAGCCAUUGUUCACCCUGAUGGUGCUCAAUAUAUCACCAGAAUGAACACUGUGCAUCUCGGUAUUUCACCCUCCAAAGCCUCAUAGAAAAAUGGAUGCUAAUGAAGAGACCUUCCAUGUUUUCCUAAGAAGGCCAUCACCUCUGAUAAUACAGAGGAC
ensembl:lncRNA